CCUACGGGAGGCAGCAGUAGGGAAUCUUCCGCAAUGGACGAAAGUCUGACGGAGCAACGCCGCGUGAGUGAUGAAGGCUUUCGGGUCGUAAAACUCUGUUGUUAGGGAAGAACAAGUACAAGAGUAACUGCUUGUACCUUGACGGUACCUAACCAGAAAGCCACGGCUAACUACGUGCCAGCAGCCGCGGUAAUACGUAGGUGGCAAGCGUUAUCCGGAAUUAUUGGGCGUAAAGCGCGCGCAGGCGGUUUCUUAAGUCUGAUGUGAAAGCCCACGGCUCAACCGUGGAGGGUCAUUGGAAACUGGGGAACUUGAGUGCAGAAGAGAAAAGCGGAAUUCCACGUGUAGCGGUGAAAUGCGUAGAGAUGUGGAGGAACACCAGUGGCGAAGGCGGCUUUUUGGUCUGUAACUGACGCUGAGGCGCGAAAGCGUGGGGAGCAAACAGGAUUAGAUACCCUGGUAGUCCACGCCGUAAACGAUGAGUGCUAAGUGUUAGAGGGUUUCCGCCCUUUAGUGCUGCAGCUAACGCAUUAAGCACUCCGCCUGGGGAGUACGGUCGCAAGACUGAAACUCAAAUGAAUUGACGGGG
rnacentral:rRNA from 1 species